rnacentral:rRNA from 1 species
ACGCUCGACACCUACGGGAGGCGGCAGUAGGGAAUCUUCCACAAUGGGCGCAAGCCUGAUGGAGCAACACCGCGUGAGUGAAGAAGGGUUUCGGCUCGUAAAGCUCUGUUGUUGGAGAAGAACGUGCGUGAGAGUAACUGUUCACGCAGUGACGGUAUCCAACCAGAAAGUCACGGCUAACUACGUCGCGCAGCCGCGGUAAUCUGAGCGGGCUGGCAAGGC